GUAGCAGUGGCCGAGUGGUCAAGGCGACAGACCUCGAAGUCUGAGGGGUAAUUUCCCUGCAUGGGUUCGAUUCCCAUCUGCUACC
rnacentral:tRNA from 1 species